UCUCUCGAGGACUUGAGCAAGAUAGUCUGCAAAGCAGAUAGCAGUGAGAGCUGUGAGUUAUCGUCCUGCUGUUUCACCAUAUAAGUACAGCUAAUAUCUGACAUAAUUUGGCAAAGUGAGGGCUUCCACCAUGAGAACGGUGAGAACAGACAUUCCAAGGACCAAGAGGAGGUGAGGAGCCUCCAACAGCCAGACUCCAGCUCCUGGCUCAACCAGUGGUCACAUCCUCUCCAUGACCUCCACCGACACAAGCUGAGAUCUCAGUAUUUUAUGAUUUCGCUGAUAGCAUCUGCAGCCAGUGAAUGAGAACAAUGAAAUGACAAAG